rnacentral:lncRNA from 1 species
UCGUAUUACUCCCUUCACAACCAAAAAGAAUACUCCCUGCACCAAAGAACAACUAGUAACAAUAAAAUUUACUUCUCUCAUGUUACCUACAACAACAUUACUACUACAAUCUGCAGCAGCCCAUAAAUAAGAGAACAAUAACACUCUCUCAUGUCCUUCCAAAAGACAACCAAGAAUAUAUCUUUAGGUUUUGCUCGACAUUUCGAGUUUGUGGUUUUUGCAUGUUAGGUAUUGAAAAUUAAUUUCCAUAAUAGAUAAUCCUCAAUCUCCCAUUAUAAUGCAGUUUGACAAUUAUAUGAAACUUGAUUCCGACAAAAAAUUAUGUACUUGUUCAAAUUCACAUGUG